UUCCUCGUGAGAGAGUGGGAGAGGGGAGUGAAGUGUGGGGAGAUGUGCCAGAUAGAGGGAGAUAACCUGUGGAAAGGGGGGCUAAUACCGUAUAGCGUCGCGAGACCAAAGGGGGGGAUCUUCGGCUCUCUCUCUAUCGGGAGACCCCAUGGGGUUUUAUCUAGUGGGGGGGGUAGCGGCCCCCCUGCGACAAUACCCCUAUGUGGUGAGAGAAGGUGACCACCCACUGUGGCUGUGACACGCGGCCCACACUCCUACGGGGGGCAACUGGGGAGAAUAGUGCACAGUGGGCGCGCGCGUGGUGGAGCUGUGCCGCGUGUAUGAAAAGGGUUUUCGGUGUGUAGAGUAUUUUCCGCGGAGAAGAGGGAGAUGUGUAUAAUACCCGUGUAGUGUGAUUUUCCCCGGAGGAGAAACCCCGUAUAUCUCCGUGAGAGGAGCCGCGAAAAUACAGAGGGCGAGCGCGUUACUGAGAUUUAGUGCGUGUAGCGCACACAGGGGGUCUGUGUAGAGAGAGAUGUGAUCUCCCGGGGUAUACCGUGGGCUCUGUUUUUGAAUGUGGCGCGUGAGACUCUUAGAGAGGGGGAUAGAACUACGUGUGGAG
rnacentral:rRNA from 1 species